UGUUGGAUCCUCCCGCUUCAAACACGUCUUUGAAAACCCUAAUCCCAAUUCAAAAUUCAAACACGCCCUUCUCUUUCUUGGUUCUCUAUCUCAAGUUCAGAUAAUCGAAUGUCAAUCUGCCUUACCCUCUCUCGUUACUCUUCAUUGAUCGCAGGAGUUUGUGGUGCAAGAUUUCACAUCGCCUUCUCUGUUUGACAUGGAAGGGUUCUUAUCAUAUUUUCUAAUAGAUACCCAAAUGGGUGGAGAAUCACUUUUCGCUCCCUCAUCACCAUCCCCACCUCUCCAUCUACUGGAAAUUUAGGGUUUUUUUUUUCAACUUUAGUUCACCCAAAACCCUAAAACCUCCAAUGUGCUAUGAUUCAUCAGGGAAAUCUCAGCCGAUGGUUUCUCCUUACAUUGUACUAAAGGUUGGCUUGGCUUCACACAUUGUUAGGGUUGUGUCGACUUUGAAGGCUCAAGAAUUCAUUGAUGAGACAGGUAUUGAUGCUCUGGCAAUGUUUAUCCGUAAUGUUCAUGGAAGUACUCUGCAAGCGGGCCAAAGCUUCUGCUUGAUUUGCUAAAGAUGCUCUAUGAAUUGGCUUGAAAGAAUGGAAUCAUGGAGCCUCUAGAUUGCCUAAAGAACUUGUCCAGGUUCUUAAAAUGUAAUAUUUGUUUGCAUUUGUGUAUAUUAGUGUAGCAACUACCACAUAUGGCUCUCAAUUUGCAGCAUAUUAAGUUGGUCAACACAUCUAUCAAGGAGCUCAGUGUGUUUCAAAUUAUAAACCGGUGACCCGGGAAGGACUUUGUAAUUCCUUCUGAUGUGAACUUGGUAGUUGUACAACAGGUACAUCAGAUGAGAAAGAAGAUCAUUGAGUGACGAUAUAAUUCAAUGGUUUGUCGAUCCACUGACAAAUUCUCAUUGAAUCCUGACAGGUUCUGAUCACUUAACUUUUACUUAUUUCAUUCAUUACUAUUUGAAAUCGAUUUGUGUUUUUCGUUAUGGCAGGUUGUCACUCUUUGGUGCAAGAUUCGAUCGAUUUGUGCUUUUAGCUUAUGAGAUCUGCUUCUUUUGCAUGGAUUCACUCAAGGAUCCAAAAAGAGAAAUGGUGUCAAUGCCAUUAUUUUCACUGCUCUAUGGUGUUUGUGGUGUAUGCGAAAUGAUGUCCUUUCCGAAUGUGGUAGAAGAAGUCAAAGCAAUGAUAGAGAUUGUUCAUCAUUUUCAACAUAGGCUGAUUUGGUGAAUUGUUUUCUGUUCUUGUUGGUGUUGCUAUUUUGCUAGAUAAUUUUGGUAGCUGUAAUGUUUUUUUAAAUACCUUGCUUUGCUGGGGUUUUAAUAAGAUUUGUCGGAUCCAAGGGCCUUUAGGAGCUGGGUUUAUAUACUAGAGGUGUGAAAGCGUUGUAUUUUGUUAGGUGAGCAAUGUGGGAUUCUCAACUUUUGGAAUGAAAAUUAAAUAUUAGUAUUUGGGAGUACCAG